rnacentral:tRNA from 614 species
GCCGCUUUAGCUCAGUUGGUAGAGCACAUCAUUCGUAAUGAUGGGGUCGCGUGUUCGAGUCACGCAAGCGGCACCA